rnacentral:rRNA from 1 species
GACAGAGGAUGCAAGCGUUAUCCGGAUUGAUUGGGCGUAAAGCGUCCGUAGGUGGUCUUUUAGGUCUUUUGUUAAAUACUAGAGCUCAACUUUAGUUCAGCAUAAGAAACUUAAGGACUUGAGUAUGGUAGAGGCAGCGGGAACUCCCGGUGUAGCGGUGAAAUGCGUAGAGCUCGGGAAGAACACCAGAAGCGAAGGCGCGCUGCUGGGUCAUUACUAACACUAAGGGACGAAAGCUAGGGGAGCAAAUGGG